rnacentral:misc_RNA from 1 species
UCUCCGUUGGUGAACCAGCGGAGGGAUCAUUACCGAGUUUACAAACUCCCAAACCCUUUGUGAACCUUACCAUAUUGUUGCUUCGGCGGGACCGCCCCGGCGCCUUCGGGCCCGGAACCAGGCGCCCGCCGGAGGCCCCAAACUCUAGAUUUUUAUUUUAGCAUGUCUGAGUGGAAUCAUUACAAAAUGAAUCAAAACUUUCAACAACGGAUCUCUUGGUUCUG